rnacentral:rRNA from 1 species
UACGUAGGGUGCGAGCGUUAAUCGGAAUUACUGGGCGUAAAGCGUGCGUAGGCGGUGGCUCAAGUCAGAUGUGAAAUCCCCAGGCUUAACCUGGGAAUUGCAUUUGAAACUAGGUCGCUAGAGUUUGGCAGAGGGGGGUGGAAUUCCACGUGUAGCAGUGAAAUGCGUAGAGAUGUGGAGGAACACCGAUGGCGAAGGCAGCCCCCUGGGCUAAGACUGACGCUGAGGCACGAAAGCGUGGGGAGCAAACAGG